rnacentral:rRNA from 2 species
GGUUAAGCGACUAAGCGUACACGGUGGAUGCCCUGGCAGUCAGAGGCGAUGAAGGGCGUGCUAAUCUGCGAUAAGCGCCGGUAAGGUGAUAUGAACCGUUAUAACCGGCGAUACCCGAAUGGGGAAACCCAGUGUGACUCGUCACACUAUCAUUAACUGAAUCCAUAGGUUAAUGAGGCGAACCGGGGGAACUGAAACAUCUAAGUACCCCGAGGAAAAGAAAUCAACCGAGAUUCCCCCAGUAGCGGCGAGCGAACGGGGAGGAGCCCAGAGCCUGAAUCAGCAUGUGUGUUAGUGGAAGCGUCUGGAAAGGCGCGCGAUACAGGGUGACAGCCCCGUACACAAAAGCGCAUGUGCUGUGAGCUCGAUGAGUAGGGCGGGACACGUGGUAUCCUGUCUGAAUAUGGGGGGGACCAUCCUCCAAGGCUAAAUACUCCUGACUGACCGAUAGUGAACCAGUACCGUGAGGGAAAGGCGAAAAGAACCCCGGCGAGGGGAGUGAAAAAGAACCUGAAACCGUGUACGUACAAGCAGUGGGAGCCCCACCACCAAAGCAUUCUCUGGUGUUGAAGGCCCUGCAAAGCAGCAUCGCGGUGGCGGAGCGUCGUUUGCGACGCCCAACACACAAAACAAGCGGUGAAUGCUUUGGGGUGGGGUGACUGCGUACCUUUUGUAUAAUGGGUCAGCGACUUAUAUUCUGUAGCAAGGUUAACCGAAUAGGGGAGCCGGAGGGAAACCGAGUCUUAAUUGGGCGUUAAGUUGCAGGGUAUAGACCCGAAACCCGGUGAUCUAGCCAUGGGCAGGUUGAAGGUUGGGUAACACUAACUGGAGGACCGAACCGACUAAUGUUGAAAAAUUAGCGGAUGACCUGUGGCUGGGGGUGAAAGGCCAAUCAAACCGGGAGAUAGCUGGUUCUCCCCGAAAGCUAUUUAGGUAGCGCCUCGUGAAUUCAUCUCCGGGGGUAGAGCACUGUUUCGGCUAGGGGGCCAUCCCGGCUUACCAACCCGAUGCAAACUGCGAAUACCGGAGAAUGUUAUCACGGGAGACACACGGCGGGUGCUAACGUCCGUCGUGAAGAGGGAAACAACCCAGACCGCCAGCUAAGGUCCCAAAGUCAUGGUUAAGUGGGAAACGAUGUGGGAAGGCCCAGACAGCCAGGAUGUUGGCUUAGAAGCAGCCAUCAUUUAAAGAAAGCGUAAUAGCUCACUGGUCGAGUCGGCCUGCGCGGAAGAUGUAACGGGGCUAAACCAUGCACCGAAGCUGCGGCAGCGACGCUGAUGCGUUGUUGGGUAGGGGAGCGUUCUGUAAGCCUGCGAAGGUGACCUGUGAGGGUUGCUGGAGGUAUCAGAAGUGCGAAUGCUGACAUAAGUAACGAUAAAGCGGGUGAAAAGCCCGCUCGCCGGAAGACCAAGGGUUCCUGUCCAACGUUAAUCGGGGCAGGGUGAGUCGACCCCUAAGGCGAGGCCGAAAGGCGUAGUCGAUGGGAAACGGGUUAAUAUUCCCGUACUUGGUGUUACUGCGAAGGGGGGACGGAGAAGGCUAUGUUGGCCGGGCGACGGUUGUCCCGGUUUAAGCGUGUAGGUGUGUGUUCCAGGUAAAUCCGGUUCACUUUAACACUGAGGCGUGAUGACGAGGCACUACGGUGCUGAAGCAACAAAUGCCCUGCUUCCAGGAAAAGCCUCUAAGCAUCAGGUAACAUCAAAUCGUACCCCAAACCGACACAGGUGGUCAGGUAGAGAAUACCAAGGCGCUUGAGAGAACUCGGGUGAAGGAACUAGGCAAAAUGGUGCCGUAACUUCGGGAGAAGGCACGCUGACACGUAGGUGAAGUGAUUUACUCACGGAGCUGAAGUCAGUCGAAGAUACCAGCUGGCUGCAACUGUUUAUUAAAAACACAGCACUGUGCAAACACGAAAGUGGACGUAUACGGU